rnacentral:misc_RNA from 1 species
ACUUGCUGUAAUGGACUGGAUUGCCUCUACCACAUGAAAGGAGGGGUAAAGAAAGAAAGGAGAUGCUCAUGAAAAUCCCUCGACACACCAUGCCAUUCACUAUGGCCAUCGACAAUUUCUCGCCCCAAAUGAACUUAGAAUCCAUCGUUUUUAACAUAAAAUCCAACUGCCUCACUGCAUAGAAUGGCUCAUGGCUACUUGAACCCCUCCUUUUUUUUCUUUCCCCUCCUUGCAUGUGGUAGAGGCAAUCCAACCCAU